GCCUCAAUCACAGUUUUCUACAGACAUCCACUGGCAACCUGCUAAAAAGUCCCAAUUUGAUGUGCUGGCUUCAAGAGCAGACACUGUUAUAAGUCCAUCCAAUCAGAAGAAAUUAUGAAAAUAGAACAAUUCAGAGAAUCUCACACACGCUGCAACUCACUCAAAGCACAUGCAAAACAGUGAUUGAUGUUGCUAUUAAUGUAUUCACUAUCAUGACCUAAAUAUGCCAAGAGCACUGCACACGUGUACACACACACACACACACACACACACACACACACACACACACACACACACACACACACACACACACACACACACACACACACACACACACCAAGACAAGAAUGUAAGCCGCAGCACGAAAGCUCCGACUCUGUUUCUCUCUCUCUGUAAUUACAGCUUUAAACUGCUGACUGCUGGUGAAGAAUCAGACACACACACACACACACACCAAAAAAAGCCAUCCAACACAAAGCACGUGUGUGUGUGUACGUGUGCACAUACAUGCGUAUGUGUGGUCAGUCAAUGACAGGGUUGUGAGUCGUUUUUAGCAGAAGAAAAAUAAAAUGGAAAGAUCAGAUACAGAGCGCGCAGACAUUUCCAUUUCUGCUUUCUUAACUAGUUCAGCUUCUGAUUGCUUCUCCUGUCUUUCCUCCCUUCCUUAGGAGCCUUCCUCUCCCUUUGCCGUCCCUUCUUCUCUUCUUUCUUUGUGUAUUUCUUCUUUUUUCUUUCCUCCUUUCCAUUCUUACGUUCAGCUUUUCUUUCUGUCAUAGUUUCUCUCUUCUUCUAACCAUUUGUUUUUCAUCUCUCCUCCAGUUUCUUUCCUUACUUUCCCUCAUUAGUCUUCCUUCUUUUGUUCCUUUAUCUCUUCCGACUUUCUUUGCACCCUUUGUGUUUUCUCUGGUCCCAUCUUUCUUUUGUUUUUCCUUCCUCCGUUUUUUCUUUUCUUUCUUAUUUCUUUUAUCUCUUCCCUCCCAGAUUUCUUUCUUUUGCCCUCAUGUACUCUCUUUACUUCCUUUCUUCCUGAACCAGAAGGACUUUCUGCUAUAACAGAAUCCUGAUAUAGAAACUCUAACAUGUUUCUGUCAGUAAAAUGAUGCAAUCAUUUCUGAAGUUCUGGAGCAGUCUGAAAGUGUCACUAUGAUUCUGCUUGUUAACUGCACCUCUGACUUCCUGUAACAUUCAGUGAAUAAAAUGAUGAACAGCAUCAAGAGCAUAAUCCUGGGGCAAGUACGUUUAGAUAAAUUAGAAACUCAGAGCUUUGUAAACUGGGAUUAGCGUGCGUUUUAGCUGAUCUAAGCACAAGUGACUGGAUACAGGUAAAGGUGCAAAUGCAGUCCACAUACUUGAGAUCUGAUUGGUCAGAUCAUUUUGGUCACAUAAUGCAUUUUUAAAUGAAGAAAGACGUCCUUUCUUUGAUGUUAUUUUCUGUUUUCAGUUAUGGUUUAGAUACUGUAAGUGAAAGCAACAGAACAAGCUGGUUAUAUUUUUGGGAAAGUAUGGUGGCU
ensembl:lncRNA